CGCUUAUAGGACAAAAGGUACCCUAGGGAUAACAGGCUGAUAACGCCCAAGCGUUCAUAGCGACGGCGUUGUUUGGCACCUCGAUGUCGACUCAUCACAUCCUGGGGCUGGAGAAGGUCCCAAGGGUUUGGCUGUUCGCCAAUUAAAGUGGUACGUGAGUUGGGUUCAGAACGUCGCGAGACAGUUCGGUCCUCUAUCCUCUGUGGGCGUUGGAAAUUUGAAGGAUUCAUUCUCUAGUACGAGAGGACCGAGAAUGACGAGCCGCUGGUGUUCCGGUUAUCGUGUCAACGGUAGUGCCGGGUAGCUACGCUCGGAAAAGAUAAGCGCUGAAAGCAUCUAAGCGCCAAGCUUGUCCAAAGAUAAGAUUUCCCAAGAGCAAUCUUGUAAGAAUCCUGGAAGACGACCAGGUUGAUAGGGCAGAUGUGUAAGUAUAGUAAUAUAUUGAGCUAACUGCUACUAAUGAUUCGAGUGAAUUUAAAAU
rnacentral:rRNA from 1 species